AGAGGAGCCAAGCGUUGUCCGGAUUGACUGGGCGUAAAGCGCACGCAGGCGGCGGCGCGCGUGGGGUGUGAAAUCUGGCCGCUUAACGGCCAGGCGCCAUCCCAUACGGCGCGGCUGGAGGGAUGCAGAGGUCGAUGGAAUUGCCGGUGUAGUGGUGAAAUGCGUAGAGAUCGGCAGGAACACCCAGGGGGAAACCAGUCGACUGGGCAUCACCUGACGCUGAGGUGCGAGAGCGUGGGGAGCGAACCGGAUUAGAUACCCGGGUAGUCCACGCCGUAAACGAUGGCCACUCGGCCUUUGCGGGCGGAAUCUCCGUCCGUGGGGGCCUUAGCUAACGCGGGAAGUGGCCCGCCUGGGAACUACGAGCGCAAGCUUA
rnacentral:rRNA from 1 species